CCACAGUUUGGCUUUUGCCAUGCUGUGCCAUGUCCGCACCCGGGAUCCGAACUGGCAAACCCCAGGCUGCUGAGAAGCGGAACAUGUGGACUUAACCACUGCACCACCAGGCCGGCCCUACCAGUCCCUGCUCUCAGUGCCCUAGAGACCCAGCAGGUACCUUGCUAAACGAGAUGGUGACAGGACUCGCAGGACUCAGCGUACCGUGACUGCCCCCCGCCAAGAUGUGCUGUGUUUCCGACUAGCUCUCUGAUUCUCCAAACCAGCCCUGGUCCUCAGCUUUCCUGUGGAGAGACCGCUUCUGUGGAAAGGGCUUGUUUCAGCCCAUCGGACACUGAGAAGAUCGAGGUGGCGAGCCUCGGAAUCCUCUGGGGCACCCCAGGCUGAGAAACGUUGAAGACCAGAGGCUAGGAAGCCACCAGCAGGAAAGGGGCUCUGGAGGGGACUUCUGAACUUGGAGACUCCUUCUUCCUUUCACAAAACCCUGUUAUUCCUCCCAAGGAGAAAUCACGCCUAGCUGAAAAGUCUGAGGACAGGGUGACAGCUGGCAGCCGCUGUGGAGGCAAGCAGUCCAUACCUUCAGCCUAUUGAGUCCUGGUUGCCUUUGAUGUAGGCAUUUCCUGUGGUCCAGCAAGUGAGAGCAAGGUGGGAAAGGCUGGCAUGGGGAGUGUCUGCUGACCCUAGCAUUUCCAAAGCGAAACCUUCCAGUUGCUUCUAGAAUCUAGGCCCUGCAUUGUAAAAUGUUGUGGGUGCAGGCUGCCCCACUCGAUCCCCAUUUAGGAAUUAACUAUUUUAAAGUAACAAAGAGAUUUCACUCUUCUUCAGCCGUCCAAGGGACACCAUUUAUCCUGUCUGCAGAGCAGCAUCAGUGACAGGCUAUGGGGGUGGGAGGCAGGGGUGAGAGCAGAGGCCCAGCACAAUACAGAAGUCCCUGACUCGCUGUUCCUGGGCCUCCCCAGCCCCACGGGUGUGGAUGCAAAGAAUCCUGGGCAGGGAAGCCAGAGAAGAGCCGCUGGGAACUAACUUCCUAACUGCCUUUAUAGCUGACGUCCCCUCUCUGGGUCCCUGUUCCUUGCUCCCACAAAAUCAAACAUUUGACUGGAAGGGACUGCAAGCAGCUUUCAACGCAUACCCUAAUUCUGAUCCAUUCGUAGAAGCUGCCUGCAGAGCCAUGUUGAGGGUUUUGAGGGCUGGCGGGAGGGAGAGAGCUGGGAUGCAUUAGCAAUGUCUGCUAUGAGGAUGGGAAGGAGAGCAGUCGCCCUUUCCCUUGCUAUAUAUUUACCACUCCUGCCGUUGAUAUCCGAAGUCUUCUUUGCCCCAGAUCUUGUAGGAUUUUAUGAUUCCUCUUGCCUGUGCUGUUUGCUUGACCUUCCUCAAGGAGCUAUUUCAGGGGCUGUUCCCACCCACCAGGAACUGACAGUGGCCUGCAGAUGUUUGCUUGUAGGGCUGGGCCAUGCGAGUUAGUGAUAACCAAGGCCAGAGUUAGUGAUAACCAAGGCCAGAGGUGCCCGGCUCUCCUUGAGACCGGAAAUAAGCUGAAAAGUGAGUCUUUCUCUGUCAACGCUAUCCUGAGACCCACAGGGCAUGAAGCACAGCCAAGGCGGAUCACCCCUUCCAAGAUGACCCACUCUGAGACAAACGCAGGAUGCGGCCUCUAUCCACAUAGUUUAGGCACAGAGGACUGAGAAAGCCAAAGACCACAUGAAAAAAGGGAAAAGAAUUUUGAGCAGAGGCCUCCUGGGAGUGGGGUGGUCUCCCUGUGGGUAAAGGGGAGACGGUAACAGUGCCUCCUCUGAGAGGGGUCCCUGUGACAGUGCAAGGGGAUGAUGCAUGCAAAGUGCUCAGCACAGAGCCCGACACCAGUACUCAUCCCUAAUAAAAGCGAUCCGGUGGCCAUGGCACUAUUCUCUAGGAUCACUCUUUGGUGGCAUUGGGCCUACAGAUGUUAAGUCUCCUCUGAAGCUAGCCCUCCCCUCCGCAGGGUGGGAGCCUGCUAUCUCACCAUUGGGGCCCCGAGUUGGCCAGUUCCAAUAACACGAUUAGUCAUUUUUCAUUCCUGAGAUGUCUACCCAUGGGUGGGUGCAUGUGUGCAUGUGUGAGUCCGUAUGUGCCUUUCAGAGCAGGGGAAAAUCCAUAUUCUCUCUCUUCUGACCGAAUUAAUCAAAUAAAUCUUCUGUAAGGAGCUGCUAAAUGAAUCACAGAUGGCUCUGCCCUUUUACAGGUUGCAGAAAGCCCCCGUUACAGUUCUUUUAAUUUAUCAGAGGAAAAAAGAUGCCCUCGUGUGCCCCGUCCCGCUUGCAAUAAUAAUCAGAACCAGUCUAUUUUCCAAGGGUCCAAGACUCAUUUUCCAAAAAUGUGUAUCAAUAGAUGGAACCGCGGGAAGACUAUUUUGCCAAGUUCCAGCCUCCAGCAAGCAAAGGUGCCCUGGCUGGGGAGAGCGUUUAUAAAAC
rnacentral:lncRNA from 1 species